rnacentral:rRNA from 1 species
AUUGAACGCUGGCGGCAGGCUUAACACAUGCAAGUCGAGCGGGGUGAUGGUGCUUGCACUAUCACUUAGCGGCGGACGGGUGAGUAAUGCUUAGGAAUCUGCCUAUUAGUGGGGGACAACAUCUCGAAAGGGAUGCUAAUACCGCAUACGUCCUACGGGAGAAAGCAGGGGAUCACUUGUGACCUUGCGCUAAUAGAUGAGCCUAAGUCGGAUUAGCUAGUUGGUGGGGUAAAGGCCUACCAAGGCGACGAUCUGUAGCGGGUCUGAGAGGAUGAUCCGCCAAACUGGGACUGAGACACGGCCCAGACUCCCACGGGAGGCAGUAGUGGGGAAUAUUGGACAAUGGGGGGAACCCUGAGCCAGCCAUGCAGCGUGUGUGAAGAAGGCCUUAUGGUUGUAAAGCACUUUAAGCGAGGAGGAGGCUCUUUUGGUUAAUACCCAAGAUGAGUGGACGUUACUCGCAGAAUAAGCACCGGCUAACUCUGUGCCAGCAGCCGCCGUAA